rnacentral:pre_miRNA from 1 species
AGGACGAGCUAGCUGAGUGCUGCAGACACUCUAAGAGCACUGAGCUAGCUCUCCCUCC